GAUGAUGAAUGAUGAUAAAUGUUGAAUCUUGGAAUGAUGAAACCAUAAUCGGAAGCAUUUCCUUGUAAAAGACCUCCUUGAACAUAAGCAACUAGGUCUCGGGUGAAGAUUAGUGAUGGAUCACUUCAACAAGGUAGUCCACCUACACCCCCUUGAUUUACACUAUGAUCAUCACCAUCCUUAGCCAUAAUGCAAGAUUCCUCACUUUGAUGAUUGAUGCAUGACGGUCAUUCUUUC
rnacentral:lncRNA from 1 species